rnacentral:rRNA from 1 species
CAACUCCCAAACCCCUGUGAACAUACCACAACGUUGCCUCGGCGGGACCGCCCCGGCGCCCUCGGCGGCCCGGAACCAGGCGCCCGCCGGAGGACCCAAACUCUUGCUUUGAACAGUGGCAUACUCUCUGAGUCUCACAAACAAAAAAUGAAUCAAAACUUUCAACAACGGAUCUCUUGGCUCUGGCAUCGAUGAAGAACGCAGCGAAAUGCGAUAAGUAAUGUGAAUUGCAGAAUUCAGUGAAUCAUCGAAUCUUUGAACGCACAUUGCGCCCGCCAGCAUUCUGGCGGGCAUGCCUGUCCGAGCGUCAUUUCAACCCUCAGGGAGCCCCCUCGCGGGAGGACCUGGUGUUGGGGGCCGGCCGCCCGCGCCGCCCCCGAAAUGCAGUGGCGACCUCGCCGCAGCCUCCCCUGCGUAGUAGCACAACCUCGCACCGGAGCGCGGAGACGGUCACGCCGUAAAACGCCCAACUUUCAAGAGUUGACCUCGGAUCAGGUAGGAAUACCCGC